rnacentral:tRNA from 1 species
CAAAGUAGAGCUUGGUUAGUAAAGCAUCUCAUUUACACUGAGGGGUAAUCUGUGCGAUUCAGUUUAUUUUGA